GCUGCUAAAGCCCAAAAGUCUGAUGCGAAAAAAGCAUCAUCUGUGACUAAAGGAACACAGACUUCCUCUCAGUUCCCUGGGACUCCCUCUACUCCCUGGCUGGUUAUAAUGCCACGACUUGGAUCGAUCAGAUCCAUCACUGGAGUCCUAGACCCCUCACCAGGACCUGAAGUGUGAGCUUUUAAAAACUGUGUCUUUAUCCUGACUGACCAGGGAAUCCACUGCAGGACAUAGCUGGAAAUAUGGGAUGUAUUACCGAGGCUGUGACUGGAUCUUUAUAUUGAGAAUGAUGUGCAUUGAAUCAGAUAUGUCCUGACAACUUUAAGAACUAAGAUUGACUCGGAGAAGCUAAUGCUUAUGAAGUGCCUCCUAGAAAAACCAGCCUGUACCCGUCUUACUGGAUUCCCAACCAGACAGAAUCUCCCUUUCAUUAAAUGCCUGGUGACUAGCAAUAUCCAGCAAAUACCUGCUACUACCACGACUCAACAGAAGAUUCAGCCAAUCCUUAAUGGAAAAAAAA